CGUAUAACAAUCGAAACCGCAGGGUUUUGAUUUGAAAGGCGCUUUCGGGUGUCGCUGAUGGAUGGACCCGCGGUGCAUUAGCUAGUUGGUGAGGUAACGGCUCACCAAGGCCACGAUGCAUAGCCGACCUGAGAGGGUGAUCGGCCACAUUGGGACUGAGACACGGCCCAAACUCCUACGGGAGGCAGCAGUAGGGAAUCUUCGGCAAUGGACGAAAGUCUGACCGAGCAACGCCGCGUGAGUGAAGAAGGUUUUCGGAUCGUAAAACUCUGUUGUUAGAGAAGAACAAGGAUGAGAGUAACUGUUCAUCCCUUGACGGUAUCUAACCAGAAAGCCACGGCUAACUACGUGCCAGCAGCCGCGGUAAUACGUAGGUGGCAAGCGUUGUCCGGAUUUAUUGGGCGUAAAGCGAGCGCAGGCGGUUUCUUAAGUCUGAUGUGAAAGCCCCCGGCUCAACCGGGGAGGGUCAUUGGAAACUGGGAGACUUGAGUGCAGAAGAGGAGAGUGGAAUUCCAUGUGUAGCGGUGAAAUGCGUAGAUAUAUGGAGGAACACCAGUGGCGAAGGCGGCUCUCUGGUCUGUAACUGACGCUGAGGCUCGAAAGCGUGGGGAGCAAACAGGAUUAGAUACCCUGGUAGUCCACGCCGUAAACGAUGAGUGCUAAGUGUUGGAGGGUUUCCGCCCUUCAGUGCUGCAGCUAACGCAUUAAGCACUCCGCCUGGGGAGUACGACCGCAAGGUUGAAACUCAAAGGAAUUGACGGGGGCCCGCACAAGCGGUGGAGCAUGUGGUUUAAUUCGAAGCAACGCGAAGAACCUUACCAGGUCUUGACAUCCUUUGACCACUCUAGAGAUAGAGCUUCCCCUUCGGGGGCAAAAUGACAGGUGGUGCAUGGUUGUCGUCAGCUCCUGUCCUGAAAUGUUGGGUUAAUUCCCGCAACGAGCGCAACCCUUAUUGUUAGUUGCCAUCAUUCAUUUGGGCACUCUAGCAGACUGCCGGUGACAAACCGAAGAAAGGUGGGGAUGACUUCAAUCAUCAGCCCCUUAUGACUGGGCUACCACCUGCUACAUGGGAAGUACAACGAGUUGCAAAUCCCGAGGCUAACUAAUCCUUAAGCUUCCUCAAUUCGGAUGGAGGCUGCAUUCCCCGCUG
rnacentral:rRNA from 1 species